AUAUAUACUGGCCUCUAUCCAGGUCAACGUGUCUAACCUGCAAGAGAGCUAAUCUCCUAUAUGGUCUUAGCUACCGGGAUCUAUACCCUGCAACUGUCAUCAGCUGGGCAUGAAGAACAGCAGGCGGCCAGCUAUAUUUAUUUCAGCUUAAUUCUCAAAGGGUAUAUAUACUUUGGUGAAGAUCGAUCGGUGCAUGGUUGAUUAGAGAGCCAACUGAAUGGGAUUUCGCUCAGUUUGAUCCUCAUCACAGUAGGUGCUUAAUUGUUUGUUUUUCAUGGGAUGAAGGAGGGAGUAUGAAAAGCUGGCUUGCUUAAUUGUGCACCAUGCAGAUCAAGAGCAGGGAAUGCAAGAAAAUGCAGCAUAUGGUAUGUAAAAUGCACGAUGCUGGGGCAGAUAUACUUUGGGGGUGGCGGGGGCUCAAGCCUCUACUGUUAGUACCAGGACUAUGAGAGUUCUACGAAACCUCCACUAAAUUUUUUAUUUUGCCAUACGUAUAUGAGAAGAGGGUUAUAGUUUUAUUUAAUUAGUUUGUUCAGAUUCCUUGUUAUUUUUUCAUGGAUCUACCACCGUGUUUAUGAAUAAAUUUUGGUACUCCUACCUAUUAUGGCCAGAUCAGACCAUGCAUAUAAUUAAUCAGUAAUUGUUGCUGUGGAUUUUGGAUCGGAUGAGUGUGUUAAAUCGGCUGUACUGUACGUUGCUGUUGUUACUGCUGAUACACGGAACCUGCAAAUGAGCAUAGGAAAAGAUUGUUUGCC